CCUACGGGAGGCAGCAGUGAGGAAUAUUGGUCAAUGGGCGCGAGCCUGAACCAGCCAAGUAGCGUGAAGGAUGACUGCCCUACGGGUUGUAAACUUCUUUUAUAAAGGAAUAAAGUGCGGCACGUGUGCCUUUUUGUAUGUACUUUAUGAAUAAGGAUCGGCUAACUCCGUGCCAGCAGCCGCGGUAAUACGGAGGAUCCGAGCGUUAUCCGGAUUUAUUGGGUUUAAAGGGAGCGUAGAUGGGUUGUUAAGUCAGUUGUGAAAGUUUGCGGCUCAACCGUAAAAUUGCAAUUGAUACUGGCAGGCUUGAGUACAGUUGAGGUGGGCAGAAUUCGUGGUGUAGCGGUGAAAUGCGUAGAGAUCACGAAGAACACCGAUUGCGAAGGCAGCUCACUAAACUGCGACUGACAUUGAGGCUCGAAAGUGUGGGUAUCAAACAGGAUUAGAUACCCGUGUAGUC
rnacentral:rRNA from 1 species